rnacentral:rRNA from 5 species
CUUUUAAUGAGAGUUUGAUCCUGGCUCAGGACGAACGCUGGCGGCGUGCCUA